GAUGAACGCUGGCGGCGUGCCUAAUACAUGCAAGUCGAGCGAACAGACGAGGCGCUUGCUCCUCUGACGUUAGCGGCGGACGGGUGAGUAACACGUGGAUAACCUACCUAUAAGACUGGGAUCACUUCGGGAAACCGGCGCUAAUACCGGAUAAUAUAUUGAACCGCAUUGUUCAAUAGUGAAAGACGGUUUUGCUGUCACUUAUCGAUGGUUCCGCGCCGCAUUAGCUAGUUGGUAAGGUAACGGCUUACCAAGGCAACGAUGCGUAGCCGACCUGAUAGGGUGAUCGGCCACACUGGAACUGAGACGCGGUCCAGACUCCUACGGGAGGCAGCAGUAGGGAAUCUUCCGCAAUGGGCGAAAGCUUGACGGAGCAACGCCGCGUGAGUGAUGAAGGUCUUCGGAUCGUAAAACUCUGUUAUUAGGGAAGAACAAAUGUGGAAGUAACUAUGCACGUCUUGACGGUACCUAAUCAGAAAGCCACGGCUAACUACGUG
rnacentral:rRNA from 1 species